CAGGGAGAUGGCGGCGGCGGCGGCGGUGGCGGCGGCGCCGAGCGUGUGAGCGGCAGUCUGGGAGCCGCCGGCGGGCCCAGCGCGUCCCUGACCCGCGGCUCGCCGCCGCCAUGGGCAACGAGGCCAGCCUGGAGGGCGGCGCUGGCGACGGGCCGCCGCCGCCCGGAGGCCCCGGCCCGGGUGCGGGCCCCGGCGCAGGGAAGCCGCCUUCAGCACCGGCCGGCGGCGGACAGCUCCCCGCGGCGGGCGCGGCGCGCCCGGGCCCCUCUGGGCCCCCCGGCCCGGGCCCCGGCAGCGUUUCCAGGAGACUGGACCCCAAGGAGCCCCUGGGUAGCCAGAGAGCAGCUUCCCCGACUCCAAAGCAGGCUUUUGCUACUGUUCCAGGCCCUGAGAGCCCCCGGGCGACGAGGGCACAGGGCCCAGCAGGCCAGGAGGCCGACCGCCCCUGCAGGACGCUGCAGGUAGACAGCAAGACGCAGAGAUCAGGGCGCUCGCCUUCUGUGUCACCGGACAGAGGCAGCACCCCCACAUCGCCCUACUCCGUCCCCCAGAUUGCCCCCCUUCCCAGCAGCACGCUGUGUCCCAUAUGCAAGACCUCGGACCUCACGUCGGCCCCCAGCCAGCCGAAUGCCAACACCUGCACCCAGUGUCUCAGCAAGGUCUGCAGCCAGUGCGGCUUCAACCCCAGCCCUCACCUCACCCAGGUGAAGGAGUGGCUCUGCCUGAACUGCCAGAUGCAGAGGGCCCUGGGGAUGGACAUGACCACCGCACCUCGCUCCAAGAGCCGGCAGCAGCUGCACUCCCCCACACCGUCUCCUGCCCACUCCCCGGCCAAACCGCCCCUGGGGAGGCCAGAGCAGGAGCCGCCUCGGGGCCCCAGCCAGGCUGAGAUGGCCAGGGCCACCGCAGUGCCGGGGCCCUCAGAGGUGGGGCGGGUGCCUCCCCAGACCCCUCUCCCCACCAAGCCUUCCACAGCUGAGCCCAGGCCACCUGCAGGGGAGGCCCCGGCCAAAAGUGUCACCGCAGUGCCCUCCGGGCCUGGUGCUGCUGAGCAGACACAGGAGGGCCUCACUGGGAGGCUCUUUGGCCUUGGUGCGUCGCUGCUGACCCAGGCAAGCACCCUCAUGUCUGUGCAGCCAGAGGCUGACCCCCAGGGCCAGCCUGCCCCCAGCAAGGGGCCGCCCAAGAUCGUCUUCAGUGAUGCCAGCAAGGAGGCUGGUCCAAGACCCUCAGGCUCAGGGCCAGGGCCCAGGCCAGCCUCUGGAGCCAAAACUGAGCCUGGAACUCGAACAGGCCCUGGGUCAGGGCCUGGGACCCUGGCGAGAACUGGGGGAGUGACCAGUCCCAAGCACAGCAGAGUAGAGCAGCAGGCAGUGCCCAAGGCUGCUGCCAAGCCAAAGCCCCCGCCGCAGGGAGUGGCCACCUGCCCACUGUGCCAAGCCGAGCUCCACGUGGGCAGCAAGGGCCCAGCCAACUUCAACACCUGUACCACCUGCAAGCUCCAGGUGUGCAACCUGUGUGGCUUCAACCCGACGCCCCACCUGGUGGAGAAAAUGGAGUGGCUCUGUCUGAACUGCCAAACUAAGCGGCUGCUGGAGGGCAGCCUGGGAGAGCCCCCCACCCUGCUGCUGCCCACCUCGCAGCAGCCCCCCGGAGGGACCCCUCUCCGUGUGCCUGGAGCAGCCCCUCUGAGGCAGAAGGGGCCACAGGGCCUGGGGCAGUCAUCAGGCCUCCUGCCCGCCAAGGCCGGCGCCCAGGCCAAGCCCCUCAGGACUCCCGAGCCCAGCAGGACCCCAGGCAGCAUCCAGGAGAAGAAGGCAGGUGCCAUGGCUAAAGCUGAGCCUGUGUCGAAGCCGCCCCCAGAGGCCGCCCUGCCCCCCGGGACUCCGAAAGCAAAGCCUGGGGCGCGGAGGACUGCAGCUGCGGCCGCCGGUGUCAAGGCGGCUCCUGAAGCCCCCGUGCCUGGGGGGGCAGAGGAGCUGGUGGGCAAGCCUUAUGCCCAGGACCUGUCUCGGAGCCCCCAGAGCCUCAGCGACACGGGCUACUCCUCAGACGGGGUCUCCAGCUCCCAGAGCGAGAUCACAGGCCUCGUGCGGCAGGAAGUGGAGCAGCUGGACGGUGCGGGAGUGACCGGCCCACGCCCGCCCAGCCCCUCCCAGCUCCACACGGUGGGGAGCGGCGUGCGGCCCUCGCUGGAGACCCCGGGCCCAGCCCCCAGGGCCGAGCAGAGCAAGCCCCCCCGCAGCAGCGGCGGCGAGGAGCGGAGGAGGCCCCACUCCUUGUCCAUCGUGCCCGAGGCCUUUGACUCCGACGAGGAGCUGGAGGACAUCCUGGAAGAGGAGGCGGGCUCUCGGGACGCCGCCGAGUCCUCGGACGACCUUGGCAGCCGGCUGAGGCACGACUUCGUGGAGGACAGCAGCGAGGGCGGCCUGUCCCCGCGGCCCCCGCGGCCCCCCGCCCGGGCGGCAGAGCCGGCGAUCCUGGGGACGGGCGCCGAGGAGGCCAGCCCGGAGGACCGGCCGCGGGGCGGCGGCGCGGGCGGGCGGGGCGCCCCGGGCGGCGGCCCCGGGCCCAGGCCUGAGCCGGGCCAGGACCCUGUCGCGACGCCCAGGAGGCGCCCGCCCCGCGGCGCCGCCGCCGGCUACGAGGAGCUGCCGUCCGAGGGCGGCCCGGCAGGAGCGUCCGGCGGCCCCGGGGCCCCGCAGGGCGGCCUCCGCCGCUUCAAGACCAUCGAGCUCAACAGCACAGGCAGCUGCGGCCCCGGGCCGGGCCUGGGCCGGGAGCCCGGGCCGGAGACGGGCCGGGAGCCCGAGCUGGAGAUGGAGAGCCUGACCGGCUCGCCCGAGGACCGCUCCCGCGGGGAGCCCUCCUCCACCCUGCCCGCCUCCUCCAGCUGCACGCCGGGCGCCUCGCCCACCUCCCUGUCCUCCCUGGAGGAGGACAGCGACAGCAGCCCCAGCCGCCGGCAGCGGCUGGAGGAGGCGAAGCGGCAGCGCAAGGCCCGGCACCGGCCGCACGGGCCCCUGCUGCCCACCAUCGAGGACUCCUCGGAGGAGGAGGAGCUGCGGGAGGAGGAGGAGCUGCUGCGCGAGCAGGAGGAGCUGCGGGAGGCCGAGCGGCAGCGAGUGCGCAGCACCGCGCGGAAGCCCCGCCGGGACAAGGAGGAGCUGCGGGCCCAGCGGCGGCGCGAGCGCUCCAAGACGCCGCCCAGCAACCUGUCGCCCAUCGAGGACGCGUCCCCCACGGAGGAGCUGAGGCAGGCGGCCGAGAUGGAGGAGCUGCAGCGCUCCUCCUGCUCCGAGCGCUCCCCGUCGCCCUCCCUGGACUCGGAGGCCGAGGCCGCGGACGGCGGUGCUGCCCGGCGUCCCGUGUCGGGCAGCGAGUACAGCCUGCCCACCUUCGUGUCCCUCUGCUCACCCACCGAGGUUCCCCUGGGCAGCUGCCCUGGGCCCGGCUCGGGCCGGCCCCUUAAGAGCGCCGAGGAGGCCUACGAGGAGAUGAUGCGGAGGGCUGAGCUGCUGCAGCGGCAGGGCCGGGCCCCCGGGCCCUCUCUGCCCGCGGGCGCCCGCCGGGAAUACCAGGACACCCCAGACCACACCCGUAGCAGGGCCGCCGCCCUGCCUGUCGCAGAUAGUGCACCUGGCCCGGGGGCCGCUGCCCACGAGGAGGCCCUGCACACUUCGCAGAACACUGCCCGUGAGCGCCAGGCCUCCUGCAGGGAGCUGGCCGCGGCCGAGGAGCGGAGGGAGAAGCAGUUUUUGAAUGCUGAGAGUGCGCACGUAGACCCCACGAAGCAGGGUGGGGGCCCGCUCACCCCCGGCACCAGCCCCACCCAGCUCUCCGCGCCCGUGUCCUUCCCGGCCCCUGUGGCCCCCGACAGCCGGCUCAUUCCUGACGUGCGUGUCACUCAGCACUUCGCGAAGGAGCCUCAGGACCCCCUCAAGCUUCACAGCUCUCCCCCCUCCCCCAGUUCCUCCUUGGAGGUCGACGUAUCCUUCCCCCGGGUCCCUGGGGCCCCGGCCACCACAGCUACGGCUCCUUGUCCGGCCAGCCUGCCACGAGGGUACGUGGCUCCGAGCCCCCUGGCUGGACCUGAGCGCAGCCCUUCACCCUCUCCUCCUGGCCUCAGCUACAGACAGAGCCCGACCACUGCCAGCUUUGCAUCCCAGACUGAGGAGCUGCCCCAGGCCCCCAGCAGCCCUGCUGUCCUUGGCCGGGCUGCCAGACGGAGGCCACUGAGCAUGAGUGGCGGGGAGGGCAGUGCCCCCCAGCCCUCCCGGGGACCCGCCUCCUUCGCAGGCUCCACCCCACCUCUCUCCCUUCCCUCUCCCUCCGAGAGUCCCACGUUCUUCCCUGGCAAGCCAGCCCCACGGGCCACAGCAGAGUUCUCGACGCAGACACUAGGCCCGACCCCUGCCGCAGACAUUCCACAGAGCCCUGGCACCCAUGCCCCAACACCCGUGGUGGCUCAGGGCACACAAACGCCACGCCGGCCUGGCACGCCUCGCCUGGUCUGGCAGCAGUCCUCCCAGGAGGCCUCCUUCAUGCCCAUCCCGCUGGCAUCGGACGCCUCCAGCCAAACCAGGAUGGUACAUGUCAGCGCUUCCACCUCCCCUGUGUGCUCACCCACUGACACCCAGCCCACCACCCACAGCUACAGCCAGACGACACCCCCAGGUGUGUCCCCGCUGCCCCCAGAGCCACCUGGGCCUCCUGGCUUCCCGCGAGCACCCAGGGCAGGUGCCGAUGGGCCCCUGGCCCUUUAUGGCUGGGGUGGCCUCCCUGCGGAGAACAUCUCCCUGUGUCGGAUCUCCUCUGUGCCCGGGACGUCUAGGGCGGAGCCAGGCCCCGCCCCCCCGGGAAGCGCUGUGGUGGACCUCCGCACCACCGCCAGGCCCACGCCCAUCAUCCUGACCGACCAGGGCAUGGACCUGACCUCCCUUGCUGUGGAAGCGAGGAAGUAUGGCCUUGCCCUGGGUCCGGCGCCGGGUCGGCAGUCGACCGCCGUGCAGCCUUUGGUCAUCAACCUCAAUGCACAGGAGCAGACCCACGCUUUCCUCAGCACCGCCACCACCGUGAGCAUCACCGUGGCUUCAUCUGUGCUUGUGGCUCAGCAGAAGCAGCCUGUGGUCUAUAGGGACCCCUUCCAGAGCCAGCUGGACUUUGGCCAGGGUAUGGGUAGCCCCGUGUGCCUGGCCCAGAUGAAGCAGGUAGAGCAGGCCAUGCAGACAGCCCCGUACCAAGGUGGGCCCCAGGGAAGGCCCAGGGAGGCCAAAUUUGCCAGGUAUAACCUGCCCAACCAGCUAGUGCCUCUGGCCAGAAGAGAUGCUCUACUCACUCAGAUGGGCGCUUCCCAGAGUGUGGGCCUCAAGGUGGGCUCGGUGCCUGAGCCUGGUGCUGAGCCCCAGCGGGCAGCCCCUGCGGAGCUGCGAUCACAUGCCCUGCCAGGUGCCAGGAAGCCACACACAGUGGUGGUGCAGAUGGGGGAGGGUGCGGCAGGCACGGUGACAACACUGCUGCCCGAGGAGCCAGCAGGCGCCCUGGACCUCACGGGGAUGCGGCCCGAGGGCCAGCUGGCCUGCUGCGACAUGGUCUACAAGUUCCCCUUCGGCAGCAGCUGCGUAGGCACCUUCCACCCCGCCCCUGGUGGGCCUGAGAAGAGUGUGGCAGAUGGGGCCCUGCCUGGCCCAAGCAACGGCCCGUUCUACAGUCCCCGGGACCCUGAGCCUCCUGAGCCCCCCUCGUACCGGGCACAGGGGGUAGCGGUGGGCCCCGGGCCCCAGGAGGAGCCAAGGCCCUACCCGCAGGGCCCCCCCGGCAGGCUGUACUCCUCCAUGUCUGACACCAACUUGGCUGAAGCUGGUCUCAGUUACCAUGCCCACAGGAUGGGACAGCUCUUCCAGAGCCCAGGACGAGACUCAGCGGCAGACCUCAGCUCCCUGAAGCACUCCUACAGCCUGGGAUUUGUGGACGGGCGCCAUGUGGGGCCCGGCCUGCAGUAUGGCUCGUUCACAGACCUGCGCCACCCCACAGACGCUCUGCCCCACCCGCUUCCCAUGAGGCGCUACAGCUCCGUCUCAAACAUCUACUCAGACCACAGGUAUGGCCUGCGGGGAGACGCAGCUGGCUUCCAGGAGGCCAGCCUGGCCCAGUACAGCGCCACCACGGCCCGUGAGAUCAGCCGCAUGUGCGCCGCCCUCGGCUCCAUGGACCAGCACGGAGGGCGGCAUGGCGGUGGCGGCCCCGACCUCAUGCCCUACCAGCCCCAGCCCGGGCCUGGGCUCAGUGCCCCUCAGGCUCUGCCUCCCCUCAGAGCCGGCCUCCUGGGGAAUCCCGUCUUCCCAGAGGGCCAUCCAAGUCCAGGGAACCUGGCCCAGUACAGGCCUGCCGCAGUCAGACAGGUGCUGCCGUCCACAGCCACCGUGCGGGCAGCCGACGGCAUGAUCUACUCCACCAUCAACACCCCGAUUGCUGCAACACUACCCAUCACCACCCAGCCCGCCCCAGCACUGCGGCCCAUGGUGCGCCGCGGCUUGUACAGGCCGUACGCGGCUGCUGGAGUCACAGCCGUGCCACUCAGCAGCCUGACGCGCAUGCCUGUGGUCGCUCCCCGCGUGCCUCUGGGGCCCGGUCGGCUGUUCCGCUAUCCGGCACCGAGUAGAUUCCCCACCGCUGCCGGCGCGCCGCCUGCUGAGGGGCCUGUGUACCUGGGGAAGCCUGCGGCUGCUAGGGCCCCGCCAAGGCCAGAGCCGCCAGUGCGCUCCGCUCCGGACCAGCCUCAGUCCGCAGCCACCCCUGCCGCUGUCGUGGGUGUGGGGGCAGCCCCAGCCCCACCGACUGGCCUGAAGCCACCCGCAGACUCUGCGCUGGGGGGAGGCAGCGGGGCCCCCGGCCGGCCGGGGCUUGAGAAGGACGUGGUGCAGGAGGACCGGCAGCGGAAGCAGCUGCUGCGGCUGGAGCACGAGCGCCUGGGGCUGGAGAGGCUGCGGCAGCUGCGGCUGCAGGAGCUGGAGCGCGAGCGUCUGGAGCUGCAGCGGCACCGCCAGGAGGAGCAGCUGCUGGUGCAGCGGGAGCUGCAGGAGCUGCAGACCAUCAAGCACCACGUGCUGCAGCAGCAGGAGGAGGAGCGGCAGGCGCAGCUCGCCCUGCAGAGGGAGCAGCUCGCACAGCAGCGCCUGCAGCUGGAGCAGAUCCAGCAGCUUCAGCAGCGGCUGGCGCAGCAGCUGGAGGAGCAGAAGCAGAGGCAGGAGGCACCGCUCCCCGCGGCCCCCGAGCCGGCCCAGAACGGCCAGUACUGGCCGCCCCUGGCCCGCCCGGCCUUCGUCGCUGUGGCAGGGCCCGAGGGGGCAGGGCAGCCUCGUGAGCCCGCACUGCACCGGGGCCUCCCCAGCUCAGCCUCGGACAUGUCACUGCCGACCCAGGAGCCAUGGGAGGCGGGCCGCGGUGGCAUCAAGAAGCGGCACUCCAUGCCGCGGCUGCGGGACGUCUGCGAGCCCGGGGCGGGGCCUGAGCCCUGCGUGGCGCGGAGGAUUGCAGACGGCAGCGUGCAGACGGAUGACGAGGACGGGGACGGCCGCUACCCCCUGAGCAGGCGGCGCCGGGCGCGGCGCAGCGCAGACAGCAGUGUGCAGACAGACGACGAGGACGGCGAGUGGGCGCAGCCUGUGCGCCGCCGCCGCUCCCGCCUCUCCCGCCACCCCGACUCUGGCUCCGACAGCAGGCCGGAUGCCACGGCCUCGUCCACCACCAAGGCUGUGAGCAGCGUGGGCAUCCAGACCACCAGCGACUGCUCCGUGCAGACGGAGCCGGACCAGCUUGCCCGAGCCUCCCCCGCCAUCCGCAUCACAGCUGCUGCUGACCCCAAGGUGGAGAUCGUGAGGUACAUAUCGGCCCCAGAGAAGACGGGGCACGGGGAGAGCCUGGCCUGCCAGACAGAGCCUGACGGGCAGGCCCAGGGCAUGGCGGGCCCGCAGCCUGGAGGCCCAGCCGCCAUCGGCCCCUACUUGCCUGGCAUCCAGAUCGUCACCCCAGGGCCUCUGGGCAGAUUCGAGAGAAAGAGGCCGGACCCCCUGGAGAUUGGAUACCCAACCCACCUGCCCCCGGAGCCUCUUUCCCAGCUCGUGAGCCGCCAGCCCCCCAAAUCCCCCCAAGUCCUCUACUCGCCAGUCUCUCCCCUGUCCCCGCACCGGCUCCUGGACGCCUCCUUUGCUCCCAGCGAGAGGCUGCACAGGCCACCCCUGAGCCCGCAGAGGCACCUCACGGCUGACAGUGCGCUCCGCCAGCAGACGCUGCCUCGCCCCGUGAAGACCCUGCAGCGCUCCCUGUCUGACCCUAAGCCCCUCAGCCCCACCGCCGAGGAGUCUGCCAAAGAGAGGCUGUCCCUCCACCAGCACCAGGGUGGGCUGGGUAGCCAGGUGUCGGUGCUGCCACCCAACGGCCUGGUCCGCAAGGUGAAGCGGACGCUGCCCAGCCCCCCUCCAGAGGAGGUUCACCUGCCCCUGGCUGGCCAGGGCCCCCCACAGCUAUAUGCAGCCGGCCUGCUCCAGCAUGGACUGGCGGGGCCCACCCCUGUCCCUGCCACCAAGGCCAGCCUGCUCCGGGAGCUAGACCGGGACCUGCGGCUGGUGGAGCGCGAGUCCACCAAGCUGCGCAAGAAGCAGGCAGAGCUGGACGAGGAGGAGAAGGAAAUCGACGCCAGGCUCAAGUACCUGGAGCUGGGCAUCACACAGCGCAAGGAGUCCCUAGCCAGGGACCGGGGCGGCCGGGACCACCAGCCCCUGCGUGGGCUCGGCGAGCAUCGGGACUACCUGUCGGACAGUGAGCUCAACCAGCUGCGGCUCCAGGGCUGUGCUGCCCCCACGGGCCCGUAUGCAGCACUCGCUGCCACUGCCGCCACCCCUGUGGGCCCUGUGGGCCCUGCCGCCUUCCAGCAGCCCUCCUUCCUGCCUCCGGGGUCCCCGCAGUACACUGCAGGCAGCGGCGGGCCAAGUCAGAGCGAACUCCAGGCCCACCAGGCUCCCAGCUACGCUGGCCCCAGCACAUACCCAGCGCCUGUCUUUCCGCCUGGUGCCACGUACCCAGCUGAGCCUGGCCUGCUGAGCCAACAGGCUUUCCGCCCCACCGGCCAUUAUGCAGACCAAACACCCAUACCGACCACCCAGAGCACCCUCUACCCAGUCCCAGCUGAUGGCCGGGCCCCGCCACAGAAGCCGCGCCAGACGGCCCUCGCUGACUUGGAGCAGAAGGUGCCCACCGACUAUGAGGUGAUCGCCGGCGCCCCCAUAGCCGCCUCUUCAGCCCCGUGUGAGAGCGGCCAUGGCGGCCCAGCAGCAGGCGGCAGUCACCAGCAGGGCAAGGCCUCCGGGCUGCCUGGGGCCAGUGACCGGGACAGCGUGGGCCUGAGUCCGGCCCCCAGCUACCCCUCUGACUCGCACUACGCCAGCCUGGAGCAGAACGUCCCUCGGAACUAUGUGAUGAUCGACGACAUCAGCGAGCUGACCAAGGACAGCAGCCCCACUGCUCCCGACGGCCAGAGGCUGGAGGCCCUGGGGCCAAGCAGUAGCGGGCGUGCAGGGAAAGAGCCGGCAGAACCAGGCAUCCUUGAGGGGCCCGCACUACCCUGCUGCUAUGCCAGAGGGGAGGAGUCCGAGGAGGACUCCUAUGACCCCCGUGGGAAGAGUGGCCUGCACCGGGGUGUGGAGAGCGAUGGCCGACCCACCAGUGCCCACUACUACGGCGACAGUGACUGCAGGCACACGGCACGAGCAGACCAGUACAGUCCAGGCCCGGUGGCGCCCAGGCAUCCCUCCAAGAGCCUGGCCCCAGCCGCCAGCCCCACCAAACGCAGCAGACACCGGAGGCAGGGUGUGGAGCCAAAGGUCUCCAAGUUCUCGCCUAUUGAGGAGGCCAAGGACGUGGAGUCCGACCUGGCCUCCUACCCCUGCCCCACGACGGGCAGCAGCGUGGCCUCUCGGGGCAGAAAUUUCCAGGAUGAGGUCACCUACGGGCUCAAGAGGAACGUGUAUGAGCAGCAGAGGCACUUUGGGGUGCCCAGCCGGGGCCCAGAGGAGGAGCGCACCUACGGUGGGGGUGGUCGGUCCCGGGCGGCCUCUGGCCAUGCUGGGGAGAAGCUGUCCAGCCACGACUUCAGUGGCCAGGGCAGAGGGUAUGAGCGGGGACGGGAGGCCACGCCGCGACUUCAGGCAGCGGGUCCCAAGCCCUCGCCACUGAGCACGGCCCACGGCAGGGCCCGGCCCCCCAUGUGGAGCCAGGCCUCUGAAGAGGACAGCCCCGUCAGCCCCUCUGGGCGGUCCCGCCCUGCCGGGGGCCCCCUCCCACCUGGGGACACCUGCUCACAUUUCUGCUCCAGCCACUCCAUGCCCGACGUCCAGGAGCACCUGAAGGACGGAGCACGGGCCCACGCGUGUCAGCGCGAGGAGGGCUACGUCCUGGACGACUCCCAUUGUGUGGUUUCUGACAGCGAAGCGUACCACCUGGGACAGGAGGAGACAGACUGGUUUGAUAAGCCCCGGGAUGCCCGCUCUGAGCGGUUCAGGUCCCCCGGGGGCCAUGCCGCCACCUCCUCCCAGAAGCGAGGCCCGGCCAGGCACAGCUACCACGACUCUGAUCAGCCCCCUGAGGAGGGCCUGUGGCUGCCUGAUGAGGGCACAGGCCACCACGCCGCAGCCAAGGGUCACCCGCAGCACGGCGACCACAGGCGGCACUCUGGCCGGCACGCGGGUGAGGAGCCAGGCCGGCGCUCUGCCAGGCCACAUGCUCGGGACAUGGGGCGCCACCCUCAGCCCAGUCCGGCCCCGGUGGUGCAGAAGAAGAGUCAGCCCGGGCACCCCAGCUCCGCAGAGCGCUCACAGCCAUCCCGUGUGUCGUCGGCAUUCCAUCAUGGCCCUGACAGCAAGAAGGGCUCCCGGCAGGCGCCCCCAGGGCCCGCCGCUCCGCUACCGAAGCCAGAACCCCAGGCCCAGCCAUCGCAGGGCCGGCAGGCAGCCCCGGGACCUCCGCAGUCACAGCCGGCGCCGCCCAGACAGACGUCCCCCGCCGCGCCGCACCAGCUGCAGCCGCAUGGCCUCGGGCUGCAGGCCCCCCAGCAGCCCCCGGCACAGGCCCGGCUACAGCAGCAGGGCCAGCCAGCCACCCGGGGCCCAGCCCCUGCUGCCAGCCAGCCGGCAGGGAAACCUCAGCCAGGCCCCUCGGCAGCCACCGGCCCCCCGCCAGCAGGACCGCCACGGGCAGAGCAGACAAGCGGCUCUAAAGGGACGGCCAAGGGGCCCCUGCAGGGGCGACCUCAGGCCCAGCCGCCUCCGGGAGCUGGACUCACCGGCGUGAAGGCCGGAACCAGGCCUGGAGGGGCCCCAGGGGCUCCUGCUGGCCAGCCAGGCGCUGACGGGGAGAGUGUGCUCUCCAAGAUCCUGCCUGGCGGGGCAGCAGAGCAGGCCGGCAAGCUGACAGAAGCCGUGUCUGCUUUUGGCAAAAAAUUCUCCUCGUUCUGGUGACCACGCCCUGCAGGGCUCUUGACAAGAUGGAGAUGAUGUCACUGCUGUGGGAAAACCUCUGGAGUCAGGGGCCUGGGCGCAGCUCUGGACUCUGCGUAUAACACCCUAGGUAGGUUCCAGGCCCUGUUCCAGGUGCUGGGAUACAGCAUGGACUAAAGCCAAGUUCCUGCCCUCUGAAGCUGACAGUCCCUUAAGGGAACAGAGAAUAAAUCAGUUAAACACUAAAACUUAGAUUAAAAAGUGUCUCCGGUCCGGCGGAGCCUCGGCUCAAAGACUCGCACCAGGUAGGAUGCGGCAGGCAGCCCGGAUGGGACAUUUUCUGCCAGCAGCCGCCAGGGUGGCGCAUCAGCUCGACAGGUGGGACCAUCCCCCUGGGGACCUGAGACUGUCUUUCUGUCCUCGGGCACCACGUUCGAGGCACGUGGGGAGGGAGGAGCCCCCUCGAGACCCGGUGCCCGGCAGUCUUGCCCUCCCCACAGCCGCCUCUGCCAGCCGGCCAGCCGAGCUCCCUGUGUUAUACGCAGAGUUUGGGCGCACGCUGCCGGUGCUGGACGGGUACUGCCCGGCUCCAUGAUGCCAGAGUUUUUCCACAGCCUUGGAGAGGGCCUUUCACUGAGGGCUGGAGGCCCGGGCUCUGCCCCCUCACAUUCCAGCCGGCCCUGCCCCCUCACCCUGCCCUCGGGUGACAGCGGAGUGGACUUCCAUGUGGCUUGCGUGGGGUUGGGAGAACUUUACAAACAUUAGGACCUAACACUGUCUCAUCGCUGAAAUAAGAGGCCGUAGCACCCAAGAGCUGCGUGGGCGCCGGCCGAGGCCUCUCCCAGCCCAUGUGGGCGGCACAUCUGCCCCCACCUCAAAGCCAUGCCCCAGCCACCGUGAGCGUCCCAGCGGCACGCCAUCGUCUCCACCGCCGGCUCCUUGUUCGCACACCUGGGGAUUUCUUUUUAUUUCAACAACAGCCUUAACCGUUUCCGUUCGGUUCACGUGUAUACCUCACAGCUGUUCUUUGGUUCCUCCUCCCCCGUCUCUCCUCCGGCUUUGCUCUCGCUCUCUUCCUCUCCCCUCCACCGCCACCUCGGGACUGAUGGUUUGGCUUCCUCUCUGCUCUGCCCCUGCUCAGCACGGGGACACGCUGACCUAGAAGCAAUAGUGGGCAGCAGGCCGCCAACAGCACAACCCAGGGCGAGGCCAGGGGAGGCCCUGCACCUGCCUGUUUACUGUGCAAUUCCUGUCCUUAAGCCAUCACUGGUGGGCAAGCUCGGAGCAGAGGGCCAGGGCCUGGCAGCCAAGGGAAGGGCCCAGAGCCCUGUGCUGGGGACACGCGCUGUCCAUCCGCCCGCUAGACUGGGCCCUUCCAUGGGGCCUCCCUGCACCUUGGGCGCCACCACGAGUCUCAUCUCUAAUGUCUAUGCAAUGAAAUAUGAACCCUCAAAGACAACUGUUAACAUUUAAUAAAUCCAUGUCAUGGAUAAGGAA